GAUGAACGCUGGCGGCGUGCCUAACACAUGCAAGUCGAGCGAUUCUCUUCGGAGAAGAGCGGCGGACGGGUGAGUAACGCGUGGGUAACCUGCCCUGUACACACGGAUAACAUACCGAAAGGUAUGCUAAUACGAGAUAAUAUACUUUUAUCGCAUGGUAGAAGUAUCAAAGCUCCGGCGGUACAGGAUGGACCCGCGUCUGAUUAGCUAGUUGGUAAGGUAACGGCUUACCAAGGCGACGAUCAGUAGCCGACCUGAGAGGGUGAUCGGCCACAUUGGAACUGAGACACGGUCCAAACUCCUACGGGAGGCAGCAGUGGGGAAUAUUGCACAAUGGGCGAAAGCCUGAUGCAGCAACGCCGCGUGAGCGAUGAAGGCCUUCGGGUCGUAAAGCUCUGUCCUCAAGGAAGAUAAUGACGGUACUUGAGGAGGAAGCCCCGGCUAACUACGUGCCAGCAGCCGCGGUAA
rnacentral:rRNA from 1 species